UGAGCAGGGCAAGAGACAGGUGACCUGGU
rnacentral:piRNA from 1 species